rnacentral:rRNA from 1 species
AGAGUUUGAUCCUGGCUCAGGAUGAACGCUGGCGGCGUGCUUAACACAUGCAAGUCGAGCGAAGCGCUCACGCGGAAUUUUUCGGAAGGAAGCGGGAGUGACUUAGCGGCGGACGGGUGAGUAACGCGUGGGUAACCUGCCCCAUACCGGGGGAUAACGGUUAGAAAUGACCGCUAAUACCGCUUAAGCGCGCGAGGCCGCAUGGCCGCACGCGGAAAACUCCGGUGGUAUGGGAUGGGCCCGCGUCUGAUUAGGUAGUUGGCGGGGUAAGGGCCCACCAAGCCGACGAUCAGUAGCCGACCUGAGAGGGUGGCCGGCCACAUUGGGACUGAGACACGGCCCAAACUCCUACGGGAGGCAGCAGUGGGGAAUAUUGCGCAAUGGGGGAAACCCUGACGCAGCAACGCCGCGUGAGUGAAGAAGUAUCUCGGUAUGUAAAGCUCUAUCAGCGGGGAAGAAGGAAGACGGUACCCGACUAAGAAGCCCCGGCUAACUACGUGCCAGCAGCCGCGGUAAUACGUAGGGGGCGAGCGUUAUCCGGAUUUACUGGGUGUAAAGGGAGCGUAGACGGCGGCGCAAGUCUGAAGUGAAAGCCCGUGGCUCAACCGCGGAACCGCUUUGGAAACUGCGAGGCUGGAGUGCUGGAGAGGUAAGCGGAAUUCCUGGUGUAGCGGUGAAAUGCGUAGAUAUCAGGAGGAACACCGGUGGCGAAGGCGGCUUACUGGACAGUGACUGACGUUGAGGCUCGAAAGCGUGGGGAGCGAACAGGAUUAGAUACCCUGGUAGUCCACGCGGUAAACGAUGAGUGCUAGGUGUCGGGGGGCAAAGCCCCUCGGUGCCGCCGCUAACGCAAUAAGCACUCCACCUGGGGAGUACGUUCGCAAGAAUGAAACUCAAAGGAAUUGACGGGGACCCGCACAAGCGGUGGAGCAUGUGGUUUAAUUCGAAGCAACGCGAAGAACCUUACCAAGUCUUGACAUCCCGCUGCCGUACCUGGAGACAGGUAUUUUCCUCGGAACAGCGGAGACAGGUGGUGCAUGGUUGUCGUCAGCUCGUGUCGCGAGAUGUUGGGUUAAGUCCCGCAACGAGCGCAACCCUUAUCCUCAGUAGCCAGCGGCCAGGCCGGGCACUCUGUGGAGACUGCCAGGGACAACCUGGAGGAAGGCGGGGAUGACGUCAAAUCAUCAUGCCCCUUAUGACUUGGGCGACACACGUGCUACAAUGGCGUAAACAAAGGGAUGCGAAGGGGCGACCUGGAGCGAACCCCAAAAAUAACGUCCCAGUUCGGAUUGUAGUCUGCAACCCGACUACAUGAAGCUGGAAUCGCUAGUAAUCGCGAAUCAGAAUGUCGCGGUGAAUACGUUCCCGGGUCUUGUACACACCGCCCGUCACACCAUGGGAGCCGGUAACGCCCGAAGUCGGUGACCCAACCGUAAGGAGGGAGCCGCCGAAGGCGGGACUGGUAACUGGGGUGAAGUCGUAACAAGGUAACC